UGGAGAUCGGCGGUGGACGUAAGUCUCGCCAACCCGGUCAGAUUCGGAAGAAAGCAGCCGUAACGAGUUUUUCUUUGCGGGUCGCUGUUCGGUCUCCACCC
rnacentral:SRP_RNA from 1 species